GUGCUCACUUCAGUAGCACAUAUACUAAAAUUGAAACAAUGCAGAGAAGAUUAGCAUGGCCCCUCACACGAUGACAUGCAAAUUCAUGAAGCAAGUGCUGCUCCA
ensembl:snRNA U6 U6 spliceosomal RNA